rnacentral:rRNA from 1 species
UACAGAGGGUGCAAGCGUUGUUCGGAAUUAUUGGGCGUAAAGGGCGCGUAGGCGGCCCGCUAAGUCGAACGUGAAAUCCCCGGGCUCAACCCGGGAACUGCGUCCGAUACUGGUGGGCUUGAAUCCGGGAGAGGGAUGCGGAAUUCCAGGUGUAGCGGUGAAAUGCGUAGAUAUCGUAAGGAAGACCAGUGGCGAAGGCGGGUCUCUGGACAGUUCCUGACGCUGAGGGCACGAAGGU